GCAAUUGUCAUCAGGUGCAUUAAGCUGAGAGCAUCUUUAAAACUAGGGUGACAGCCUCCAAAUUACAUCAACCCCCAAGUGACACUCGCUCAAGAACAGACAAUGGGCAAAUAACAAGGGCAGACAAGUACUCACGUCCAACUAAAGGUAAUUUUCAGUUUCACAGAUACAUAUACAUAAAUUUGUGAACACAUGACCGCCAAUCGCAUUCGUCCCUAGUGCAUUUAUGCACUGUAGUCGCUUUCAUUACAGACUAACAAGCUCACUCCUAUACCUUGUCGCAAUAAAUUUGCCUGUCUGACAGUGGUACUUUUAGGAACUGUUUAAGGGACUGAGUAUUUUUAUUGUGCCCAUUUCUUUAAUGCAGCAGUAAGCGCACCGGUCUGUGUGUCCAAUCAUACAGUGGUAAAGUGGGAAACAUUGUGGAACAUUUUUUACCAGAAUGUUUGUAUCUGCAUUGAUGUAGUCGUGCUCAAGAAACAUGCUGGAAACAGUGAUAGGUGAGCGCAAUAGCAAUUAUAUGCUGGCAUUUGUGGAAAGCAAAUGACAAAUACAACCCUAGCUGUAAGAAAGUAAUAUUUUGUUUAUCAAGCCAGUAUUCCUGUGGUUCAUGUUUUCUGAAGUGUAGAUUUUUACAAUUGGUGUCCAAAUCUACACUCCUGUGACAGCUCUCUGCAAAAAACAGAAGCUAAUCUCAAAGGCCAUGUUUUUGCUGUUUACAUGCGCACGACUUAAUUUUUAGCCAAGCCAAGCUAAGUGGUAGGACAUGCCAGUAGUGCUAUUGCACUGGUACUAACUCACAAAUGUGCACAUACAACCGCACUCAUGAAUGUCACCAUGCAUUGAAUGGCUCUGCCGCUCCAUUCAUUACCACAAAGGCAGCACCGUUUGUUAGCAUGCAUUUUACGUCAUAAUAGCAAAAAAUAAAGCACAAAAGCCUAAGUAUUGCAAUUUUAAACAAUGGGAUACUUAAACACUGCAAAUUUAUCUACAAUAAUCUCCUAUACUACAUCUAAAGUACCAAGGCUUCACCGCCAGUUCCCGCCACUAGCCGGUUAUUGAGACUUUCCAUGUCAAUUUAUACGUAUAAUUUGAACUUAAAUUGUGAACAGCAUGCUCGAUUAUAUAACUAUAAAUCAAUCUUUUAAUUUCUACUAAUAUCUCAUGGCAUGUGUUGAUCGGUGAUCAGUCCCUUUAAGCCAAUUUGUGUAAAUGCUUCAGUAUCAGCUUGGGGUGCUGAAUAACAGAAGUUUCCAAUUGAUUACAAACAUUCAAAAACACAAAACUCAUCAAGUGUCAAAGUGAUGCCUUUUUUUUUUUUAAUUCUAAAAAAAGUAAUGAGCAACUUGUCUGAGCAGCAAAUGCACGGUUUUAUGUGGGAUCAACAUGACAAUGACAGUAAUGAAACAAAUUAGAUGCAUUUAAAAGGAGUCCAGUUUACUAUGUACUAGUACAUCACAUUAACUGAUUUGAUAUACACAGAUAGCAUAACAUGUGCUGCUGUAGUGAUGUCAACAUGGGCUGUAUGGGCAGGGCCUGAGCCAUUUUGGCCUAUCACGGAGGGAUAAUGGCAGAUAUGGAAAAGUAAAACCAGAGUAGAAUAUCUUUUUCUAACCCUGACCAUGGUGAGGAUCAUCAACAUAAAAAAAUUCACAUAAAUACAAAUUUUCAAGUAGCAGAAGAACGAUGCAAACUAUUCCAUGACUGCAAGAUUUGCAAAAAGUUUGCUGUUGCAGUUGCUCACUCGAUUAAGUGGCACAUCUGCGCAGCAAUGACUCCCACAGCAGGAUGAUUUGGAACAGGGUUGCAGAAUGGCUGCACAUUUCUGGCCGAGUUCCCUUCACGGUGGAUCACUAUAUACCUUGUAGCAAAAACUCAGAGGCUGCUGCCACACUUGAGAAAGGACCGAGGCUGGCAGGGAAUAGGUGUCAUAAGGCUCCGCAAGUGGCUGCCUAAAUUCAGAAAAUAGGAACCUCCAGUGCCACGAAAAGGCCUACAAUGCACUACUUCCACAUGUCUUGCUAUCUGAAGACUCCAACCAGCACAGCAUUCUUAUAUUGUUAAACACUCAGAAAUUCUUAAUUACUGAAUCAAAUAAUGACUUCAUUUUGUAUUAAUAAAUGCAAUAUUUGCACACUUCUAUAAUGCUAACAGCAUGUAAACCAGAUAACUAUUUUUAAACAACACAAUAAAGAUACCUUAAUUCUAGGGCACACAGGUGAAACAAGUCAACGUGAGCACAGCUUCAUACCAUAACGGGAAGCAUUGCAUUGUCAUUUACAACAUGCAAUGACCCUACUCACUGGGCGUUCAGUGUUACACGAGUACACCUACCACACUGCGAAUCACCUUCUCUGGGGCCAAUUAAACCAUUUUACCCACUUUCAGCUGUGUGUGUGUGUGUGUGCGUGAGAGAGAGAGAGAGAGAACUUUUAGUGUAUAUGGAUAAUUCAGCCCCUGCGAGAUGUUUUUCGCGUUACGACAUAACCUAGCCGCCAACCCCUUAACUAGUUCCAAAGCAUAAAAAUUAACCUAGCAAUACAACCAAUAUCACUAAUUAUUUCGCCAACCAGACGGAAACGCUCCAUGAGGGUGUUGCAACGGCGACAACACAACUAUUGGUCAAGAAAACAAUCUAAAAUUGAAGGCGACAGCGUUUGCAAGAAUGCUCCAUGUUAUCGCUUCGCCCCACCAAAUCACUUGCAUAUGUUAAAUUCUGGCACAUCAUCGCGGUCUCAUCGUGCAGAAAACUGCACCGGGCGGCAAUGGGACCUACGAGAGUAUGCGAUAAAAAUCCCACGCAGAAGCACACGUGCCGCAAGCAGUACAAACGUCACGUAACGGAAAAAUAGAAGUGCGUGUUUGUGUAGUAGUUGAGGGAAGGAACGAAAAAGAAACGGCGCACAUAAGGUUGCCGAGCCGUUACAGCAUUAGGCCAGGCAAUCUUCAAAUGUGACGUUGAACGCAGAGGCUGUGAAGUAGCCGCGAAUGGCAUAAAGGAGAACAAAACCGACAUGCUGCGCUGCGACACACACAGGCCUCUCCUCCGACCUCGGUCACGGCGCAACGCACAUCUACGCGCAGUGCCGGCUUGAACGGCAAAGGAUCCGGCGGCAGAAGCCAACUGGCUGGCACUCACAGACUGGCAGGUGUCAUCUCAAGCUAGCACAACUAUCAAAGAAAUAGAAAAAUAUGCAAUUUGGUGGUUUCGUCGUGCAUCAGAGCAAGCAGCGGCAUUGGUGAAGAAAGGAGCGGCUGCUGUUUACUCAGAUGGCAUUGAAUAAGAACAUGGAGAACUGUGACAUUAUUGCCGCACUUGCUACAAGUUGAAGGAUCGCUCCCAGUCAAGAGGCCACAAGUGCACAGCUUGAGCUUGGCCAUGCGGAGGACCCCGGCAUGCAGCAAGAAUGAAAAUGUGCAUUUCUGGCGAAACGAGACACCAUGGCAAACACACACUAUGAGUUACUGCAGGUGAAACCUGAGCAAAUACUUCCGACGCUUGCUCACGUACUCCUUAUACUCAGGAUCAAAGCCACGGCGUUGUUCACGCUGCUGCAAUACACUGUCGCAAGCUCUGUUUCUUCUAACUAAUGCGUCAAUUAUCCGUAGAAAAACAAAUAAAAGAAUGCACAUAAGCAAAGAACUUUCAUUUUCUUA